rnacentral:rRNA from 1 species
UUCCAGACUCCUACGGGAGGCAGCAGUGGGGGAUAUUGCACAAUGGGGGAAACCCUGAUGCAGCGACGCCGCGUGAGUGAAGAAGUAAUUCGUUACGUAAAGCUCUAUCAGCAGGGAAGAAAAUGACGGUACCUGACUAAGAAGCCCCGGCUAACUACGUGCCAGCAGCCGCGGUAAUACGUAGGGGGCAAGCGUUAUCCGGAAUUACUGGGUGUAAAGGGAGCGCAGACGGCAGUGCAAGUCUGGAGUGAAAGCCCGGGGCUCAACCCCGGGACUGCAUUUGAAACUGUCAGGCUGGAGUGCAGGAGAGGUAAGUGGAAUUCCUAGCGUAGCGGUGAAAUGCGUAGAUAUUAGGAGGAACACCAGUGGCGAAGGCGGCUUACUGGACUGUAACUGACGUUGAGGCUCGAAAGCGUGGGGAGCAAACAGGAUUAGAUACCCGGGUAGA